UACAGAGGUCUCAAGCGUUGUUCGGAUUCAUUGGGCGUAAAGGGUGCGUAGGCGGCGCGGUAAGUCGGGUGUGAAAUCUCGGGGCUUAACUCCGAAACUGCAUUCGAUACUGCCGUGCUUGAGGACUGGAGAAGAGACUGGAAUUUACGGUGUAGCGGUGAAAUGCGUAGAUAUCGUAAGGAAGACCAGUGGCGAAGGCGGGUCUCUGGACAGUUCCUGACGCUGAGGCACGAAGGUCAGGGGAGCAAACGGG
rnacentral:rRNA from 1 species